CGGUGGCAGCUUACACAUGCAAGUCGAGCGCACUCUUCGGAGUGAGCGGCGGACGGGUUAGUAACGCGUGGGAACGUGCCCUUCUCUAAGGAAUAGCCACUGGAAACGGUGAGUAAUACCUUAUACGCCCUUCGGGGGAAAGAUUUAUCGGAGAAGGAUCGGCCCGCGUUAGAUUAGAUAGUUGGUGGGGUAAUGGCCUACCAAGUCUACGAUCUAUAGCUGGUUUUAGAGGAUGAUCAGCAACACUGGGACUGAGACACGGCCCAGACUCCUACGGGAGGCAGCAGUGGGGAAUCUUGGACAAUGGGCGCAAGCCUGAUCCAGCCAUGCCGCGUGAGUGAUGAAGGCCUUAGGGUCGUAAAGCUCUUUCGCCAGAGAUGAUAAUGACAGUAUCUGGUAAAGAAACCCCGGCUAACUCCGUGCCAGCAGCCGCGGUAAUACGGAGGGGGUUAGCGUUGUUCGGAAUUACUGGGCGUAAAGCGCACGUAGGCGGAUCAGAAAGUAUAGGGUGAAAUCCCAGGGCUCAACCCUGGAACUGCCUUGUAAACUCCUGGUCUUGAGUUCGAGAGAGGUGAGUGGAAUUCCGAGUGUAGAGGUGAAAUUCGUAGAUAUUCGGAGGAACACCAGUGGCGAAGGCGGCUCACUGGCUCGAUACUGACGCUGAGGUGCGAAAGUGUGGGGAGCAAACAGGAUUAGAUACCCUGGUAGUC
rnacentral:rRNA from 1 species